rnacentral:rRNA from 1 species
AUUGAACGCUAGCGGGAUGCCUUACACAUGCAAGUCGAACGGAGUGGCGAACGGGUGAGUAAUGAAUCGGAACGUGCCCAGCAGCGGGGGAUAACUACGCGAAAGCGUAGCUAAUACCGCAUACUUUUGGAGCGGCCUAUAUCGGAUUAGCUAGUUGGUGGGGUAACGGCUUACCAAGGCGACGAGCCGUAGCUGGUUUGAGAGGACGACCAGCCAAACUGGGACUUGGACACGGCCCAGACUCCUACGGGAGGCAGCAGUGGGGAAUUUUGGACAAUGGGGGCAACCCGGAUCCAGCCAUCCCGCGUGUGCGAUGAAGGCCUUCGGGUUGUAAAGCACUUUUGGCAGGAAAGCGGUACCUGCAGAAUAAGCACCGGCUAACUACGUGCCAGCAGCCGCGGUAAUAC